rnacentral:rRNA from 1 species
UAGUCCACGCCCUAAACGAUGUAUACUCGACGUUUGGAUGAAUUUCUGGGCGUCCAAGGGAAACCAUUAAGUAUACCACCUGGGGAGUACGUUCGCAAGAAUGAAACUCAAAGGAAUUGACGGGGGUCCGCACAAGCGGUGGAGCACGUGGUUUAAUUCGAUGAUACGCGAGGAACCUUACCCAGGCUCUAAUGCUAUGCGCUAUACGGUGAAAGCCGUAGUUCUUCGGACGUAUAGCAAGGUGCUGCAUGGUUGUCGUCAGCUCGUGCCGUGAGGUGUUGGGUUAAGUCCCGCAACGAGCGCAACCCUUGUCUCCAGUUGCCAGCACGUAAUGGUGGGGACUCUGGAGAGACUGCCGGCGCAAGCCGCGAGGAAGGUGGGGAUGGCGUCAAAUCAUCAUGGCCUUUAUGCCUGGGGCUACACACGUGCUACAAUGGUAGGUACAGAGGGCAGCCAAACCGCGAGGUUGAGCAAAUCCCUUAAAGCCUAUCCCAGUUCGGA